rnacentral:rRNA from 1 species
UAGGGAAUCUUCCACAAUGGACGAAAGUCUGAUGGAGCGACGCCGCGUGAGUGAAGAAGGGUUUCGGCUCGUAAAACUCUGUUGUUAAAGAAGAACAUAUCUGAGAGUAACUGUUCAGGUAUUGACGGUAUUUAACCAGAAAGCCACGGCUAACUACGUGCCUG